UUGGCGCACGGGUGAGUAAUAUAUAGCUAACUUGCCCAUUACUAAGGGACAACAGUUGGAAACGACUGCUAAUACCUUAUACUCCGUAUCUAUAUAAGUAGGUACGGGAAAGUUUUUCGGUAAUGGAUAGGGCUAUAUCGUAUCAGCUAGUUGGUAAGGUAACGGCUUACCAAGGCUAUGACGCGUAACUGGUCUGAGAGGAUGAUCAGUCACACUGGAACUGAGACACGGUCCAG
rnacentral:rRNA from 1 species